UUGGUCUUAGGAAAAUGGUCACCGCAACAGAAUUGAAAUCUGUUUCCCUUGGGCUGCACAGGUUCGAAACCUGCAGAGGACA